CACCGGGAGCGGGAAACGCGGCCGCCGGCGCGCGGGGCCCGGUGCAGGCCGCUCCCCUCGUGGCCGCUUCCCUCCCCCACCCCAACCGCCCCCGCCCCUCACCCCAGGGACCCGCCCGGGGCCGCGCGGCCGCCACCGGGUUACACAACCCGGCCGGCGGCGGGGGGAGGGGCGGCCGCGGGCCGGGGGCGACUGCGCCCCCGCAAUGCGGGGGGCAAGGCGACCGCCGGUGGGGAUCCCGAGCCCCCCAGCUCCGCCGCGCCGAGCGCCCCUCGACACCCUUCCCCCUCCGCUCUUCAGUGGGCCGGAGUCGGUGACAGGAAUCGGCUUCCAACAUGGCGGACAGGAAGCGGCCCCGCGAGGAGGAGAGAACAUUCCAGCCGCGCCGGCUCUGGGGGGAGCGGGCCCGGGGCGCCGGCCUCGGGAGGAGGCGCGAGGGCACACUGCCGGAUCCGGUGCCCAAAAGGGGCGUCUAGAGGUGGAAAUAACCCAAGAAACGGGGGGUCCCGGCCACCCCCCCCCAGACGGGGAACCCCAAGGCCACAGGUGGGCUUGGGGUGGCGGGUGAGGGAGGACACUUCCUCAACUCUGCCCACCUACCCUCGCCUCGCCGCCUGCAAAAGGGUCUCGCGACACCACCCGAGUCGGAAUUAGAUUUAUGUUCAUCAUUUUUACAUGAAAAUAAAUCAUACCACUUAAGCUAGAGCCUUGCUGCUCAGUGUGACCCACAAAGAGUUGCAUCAGCAUCUUCUAAACACAGAAUCGCAACCCUGCCCUAGAGGACUCAAUCAGCAUCUGCAUUUAACAGGAUCCUCCAGAAGGCAGCAGCUGGGCAUUUCCACUAGGAUCUGGCUGAGUAAACCUCCUCUGUACUGAAGAUCCUGCUCCUGAAAUGGCCAGUACCAUCCAGUUCUUCCCAGAUGAGUGGCUGGAUUUGGACUGCUAAAAGGGAAAGGGGAAAGCAGAAGGCAAGAAAUGACCCCAAAGCUUUAAGAUAAACGGCAAGGACUACAUCCGCCUAGGAAAUGACUUCUUUAAAGGCCGUGCAAAGGAUAAAAGGAGGAACAGUGGGAAGAACAGCAUCCAAUUGCUAUGGCAACUGGAAUUUUGCAAAUAAAUACUUCAGCAUAGCUUGUUUCUCAAACAAACUGACCUAUUCUUUCCGUUAUUGGGUCCCCCUCCUGUUUCCUUAUCCUUCCUUCAUUAGUGUACACCCAUUCCUAUCUUACCUCAGAAUUAAAGGAAAAAUAAUACUUGUUUUCGAGCCUAUUUAUCUACCCCCCCUGCCAAAUUCAAUCUGGCAAUACAUUGUUUAUACACUGAGACAGGAAGUGUCCUUAUUAUAAAUCAGGAGCUCUGUCCCUUCACAUGUGUCAUCAUACCAAGGUCCUGGGAGGGAUGGUAAGCCAGGAACCUCCCCCAAAUCCUGACAGUCAAAACAAUAAAGGUCUACUAAUGACUUGUGAGUCACCCGAUUUCUCUAAGCUUCCCUUUCCCGGUGUGCAUGAAGGAAAUGCUGCUCUGAAAUAGCGGAAAUGUGGGCAAGAUCUGGGUCAUUUGUAUUCAUAGUCAAUUGACCCAGUUUGGACCCAGAUUCCCUUUCCAGCCUUAGCUCUCACUGGUCUCCUGUGCUUUAGCCAAGCACGUCUACUUGUUCCUGGCGCACACGCUUCUGUGCCUUGGCUCAUGCUAUUCUCUCUGCCUGGAAUGCCCUCUCCCCUUUUCUCCAUUUCCUCCUUCUAUUUUAUCAACCUCUCAUCUGUUUUAUAUGUCUCAAAUCAAAUAACACCUCUUCCGCAAAGCCUUCUCUGAUUUCCAUAGCUGGUAUGGAUCUUGCUUUUCUUGUUUGUGUUCUUUUCUGAUAUCUGUAGUUGUUUAUUUCAUCUGUAUCUUUCAUUCCACAGCCCCGCCCUUGGAAGAAAUGAAGCCUGUUGAGAGCAGAGACCAUAUAUUCUCCUUAAUUCCCCACAGUCCCAAACUAUAAAUGGACUUUUUACUUAUAUGUAACCCUCCCCAGCCAGUGCUUGACUUAUAAGUUCUUUAAGACCAAGGGCCAUGUCUUAUUCCCUAUUAUAGAUCCAGCAUCUAGCUUCUUACUUGGCACAUAGUUGGUACUCAGAACAAAAUAAUGGUCGAAUUAAUGAAUAAAAGUAGAUGCUUUUUUGGUAAUGAAUUAGAUUAAUUUGUAAAAUAAAAUUUUAAAUUAUUGGGGAAACUGAGUAGUUACAGGUUCAUGGAAUUCCUUCAU